rnacentral:rRNA from 1 species
AGUAAUGCUUGGGAAUCUAGCUUAUGGAGGGGGAUAACUACGGGAAACUGUAGCUAAUACCGCGUAAUAUCGGAGGAUUAAAGUGUGGGACCUUCGGGCCACAUGCCAUAGGAUGAGCCCAAGUGGGAUUAGGUAGUUGGUGAGGUAAAGGCUCACCAAGCCGACGAUCUCUAGCUGGUCUGAGAGGAUGACCAGCCACACUGGGACUGAGACACGGCCCAG